rnacentral:sRNA from 1 species
UAUAUAUAAUAAUAAUAAAAAUAACAGUCACAGCUUCUACAAUUUUGUUCUACCAAUCAGAUUUUAACAGCCAAAGUCUUUACAACCAAAUUCUCUGCAGCUCAAAUUUUUAAAGUCAAAGCUUCUAAAGCCAAUGAUUUGGACAGAAAUAGUUUUUAUUAAAACCGUU